CCCUUAGAUGUUCUGGGCUGCACACGUGCUACACUGGCAGGUUCAGCGAGCUUCAUGCCCUGAUCUGAAAGGAAUGGGAAAUCUUUUCAAAACCUGCCGUGCUUGGGAUAGAUGUUUGCAAUUAUUCAUCUUCAACGAGGAUUGCCUUGUAAGCGCACGUCAUCAGCGUGCAUUGAAUACGACCCUGUAUUCUGUACACACCGCCCGUCGCUCUUACCGAUUGAAGUUUUCGGUGAGUUGACAGGAGGAUUUUUUUGAAACUGGUUCGCCAGUGGAUUUUAGAUCCAAAUGCCAACGAAUCGAUGGCUUUAGAGGAAGGAGAAGUCGUAACA
rnacentral:rRNA from 1 species